GCCGAUGUGGCGGAAUUGGUAUACGCGCACGACUCAAAAUCGUGUCCCGUAAGGGUUGUGGGUUCGAGUCCCACCUUCGGCA
rnacentral:tRNA from 1 species